ACAUUCCUAGUAUAUAAGUACAUUUGACUUCCAAUCAAAAAGUUUGAAAAUCAAGGAUUGUA
rnacentral:tRNA from 1 species